GAUGAACGCUAGCGGCAGGCCUAACACAUGCAAGUCGAGGGGUAGCAGGAUUAAGCUUGCUUAAUUGCUGACGACCGGCGCACGGGUGCGUAACGCGUAUGCAACCUACCUUAUACUGGGGUAUAGCCCGGAGAAAUUCGGAUUAAUCCCCCAUAGUACUAAUGAAUCGCAUGGUUUAUUAGUUAAAGCAUUGCAGUAUAAGAUGGGCAUGCGUCCUAUUAGCUAGAUGGUGAGGUAACGGCUCACCAUGGCUACGAUAGGUAGGGGGCCUGAGAGGGUGGUCCCCCACACGGGUACUGAGACACGGACCAGACUCCUACGGGAGGCAGCAGUGAGGAAUAUUGGUCAAUGGGCGCAAGCCUGAACCAGCCAUGCCGCGUGCAGGAAGAAUGCCCUAUGGGUUGUAAACUGCUUUUAUUUGGGAAUAAACCUCUUUACGUGUAGAGAGCUGAAGGUACGAAAUGAAUAAGCACCGGCUAACUCCGUGCCAGCCGCCGCCGUAA
rnacentral:rRNA from 1 species